GAGCUACUCCAAGACAGCCUCUAAGGGCGCACCCGUCUCUGUGGCAAAAGAGUGGGAAGAUCUUUGAGUAGAGGUGACAGACCUACCGAACUUGGUUAUAGCUGGUUGCUCAGGAAAUGAAUAGGAGUUCAGCCUUUUGCCCUCUCACUACACACAGCGGCUACACUUUCAAAGCACUAGAGCCGGGCAAAGGAGUUAGUCAAAGGGGGUACAGCCCCUUUGAAGAAAGAUACAACUUUACCAGGAGGGUUUAGAUCACAACAACUAUUAAGGGAAUGUGUCCUAGUUGGCCUAAGAGCAGCCACCCACACAGAAAGCGUUAAAGCUCAGACACUUUUCUACCCCUACUAUCCUGACCACAUAAUCUCACCCCCCUAACCAUACUGAGCCUUCCCAUACCCCUAUGGGAGCGAUCAUGCUAAUAUGAGUAAUAAGAGACCUAGAAUCUCUCCCUGCACAAGCGUAAAUCGGAACGAACUAACACCGAGAAUUAACGGCCCCAAAAAAGAGGGAACUGAAAUAUUAUGGCCAAGCCACUAGGAGACCAUCCACUCCACCACCGUUAACCUUACAACAGAGUGCAAACAAGGAAAGUCUAAAAGAAA
rnacentral:rRNA from 1 species